GCAAACUAGGGGCUACAGACAGGCCCCUUUUCUGCAAGUUGCUCCAGUUUUCUAGGAGUCCACUCUAGAUCCUGUUUACCUGUCCCCCAACUACCCACACCUGGAGGUAUCACCAGAGGAGGCUGCAUAACAGCAUGGAUGACUGCCUGCUCCUUCCUCUGGCAGCUCUGUCCCAGAGGGGCACUGACCUGAUACUGGCCAGAACUCUCCUGUAUGAGGUGUCUGGUGACUUCUGUUGGGAGGUGCCACCCAGGCAGGAGGCAUGGGAACAGGGACCUGCUUGAAGAAGCGUCUGGCUGCCCUUUGGCAUACCAGGUUUGCUGCGCUGGGGGAAAUCCCUUUUAUCUCGACUUCGCAGCAGCCCCGGUAUUAUUUAUGAAAAUGUAUUACAUUAUUAAUGACACAAAUCUUAUGGACUCAUAUUCUCUUUUCUCUUUAAUAGUUUCUUUACUUCUGAUCACUUUUUUCCAAUUUUUCUUCCCUAAAUGAUAAAAAGAUGAUGUGAUUUGAUUGGCUGCUGCCCUCACCAUUUUGUGGAAUACAGUUUACAAGUGGACAAAUUUAUGUGCACUAUGAUUUAAAAUUCACUCCUAUAUUUUCAGCUUACCAAAGCAAGUUUUGCUUCUCUGCAUCUAUACCUAAUUGUGCUAGAUAUUUUUCAUUUUGCUUCCAAAUCCACUAUUUGUCAUUCUGCAGUUUUCUGCCCCAGGGAUUGACCACUAAGACUGUGCUAACAAGUUAUCUUUUCCUCAUUGGGUUGCAUUUUGGCCAACCAAAAUUAAAAGACAGGAAAAAUAAGAUAUCAGUGUGUUUAUGCCUUCAGCAUACUCUUUGUUCAAAUAUCGCAGGUUGGUGUGUUCCUCUAGCAAACAAAAGCCACAACCCCUAUCAGGUUGUGCAAGCCACAACUCUGCACUUGCUGAGUUAUCUUGAUGCUUCCCUCCUUUUGCCCUUCAGUCUAGAUUUUAAUGACACCGUUUCUUGCCAGUGUUUCAAAAUUCCUUUAUAAACAAUUAAUGUUUAAAAAUUACUUCCAUUUACGCAGAUUGAGUGAGCGACUUGUUCCUAGAGACCCUGAUUGAUACAACUGUUCAUUGAAUCUUCUUCAGAUGGGACAUUUCUAAGAAAAUGGAUGUAAUGGGGAUAUUUACACAGUUAUUAUUUUUGGCAC
rnacentral:lncRNA from 10 species